ensembl:ncRNA C18C4.11 ncRNA
AAAAACUUCAAAAUGUGGUUCACAUGCAUCGUAGAAAAAGUGAUGAGCUCCCAUUUCGUUGAGCAUCCGCCGCAUUCCACUUUUGUCGUCUUUGUUUUGAAUUAUCAUAUUCAAAGCUGCCUGGAGGGAUGCGCAAUGAUGUCUAGAAAU